AUUUUGUAAGGUCCUGUUUUUCCCAUCUGUGCAGGAUGGCAAAGGUCACAAGACAUGCCUGAGUUACAAGACCUGUCACAGUUUAACUGCGUUUGUUCUGCUUCUGUAAGCUUGCUUUCCCCACCCCACAAGUUUUGCACCACAGGCCAACACCCUUUGGUCACAUGAAUAAAAGUCAAGCCCUUUCUUUGCUCAUUGCUCAGCCUCUGGGUAUUAAUCUGCUGAGCUGGUGGCCACCUAAAUACAAUCGUCCUGUUCCCCUCAUUGGUCUCUCCGGUCUCCUGAUUCCAGCCACAUUUUGGUGAGCCAGCCAGGAGUGAAGACGACAGGUUUGCUGUCUCCUUUGCCUGUGGGUCUGGGGCCCCAGCCUGGGGGAGACCCGUGACUCCAGGCAUGCUAUCAGGACAACUUCAACCCGAGGGGAGAUCAGCUCUCCCGCAACCUGGUGCCGCUCUCUGACAGCACAACAGAACCUAAGGGGCUACAGGAUGAUUCAAGGAACAGUGUGCUACAGGACCUCGCAAGAAGACCCUCACCAGAUGCAGCCCCUCUAUGUUGGACUUCCCAGCCUCCGGAAGUUAGAAAUGUGCUACAACCACUCAAGGUCUGCAAACAGAUUCCUAUUUAGAUGUUGUUGAGAGCUGAAUUUCUGGAACAAGAGAUAUAGAUUAAGACUGUUGUUACAUGUUGCCUACAUGACUUUCAAAAGCUUGAUUCCCAGUGGCGCUCUCAACAGCAGUCAUAAACAAUGACAGUGAAUGGAAAACUUAAUUUUGGGACUCUGUCAUCUGCACACCUAUGUUCCCAGAGUUUGAGGAAUCAAUGCAAGUGGUUUAGAUGUGACAGUUUGGAAAAAUAUACUUCCCCAGUGCCUAUAAAAGUAAGUACCUCCGAGUGAAGCGUUAGUAUUAGGAGAGAUCAGAGCCAUAUAUGUUAAUUAGCUUGUUAAUUAUUCUCUACUGUCACGUAAGAUGAAAAUUUCUAUGUGUUUUCCAUAUAUCACUUUAUUAGCUUUUGAAAUUUAUUUUAUCUCAAUUUUGCCUGUAUAAAAUGUGGUGUAUGAUGUUCUGGGAUACAUGGGAAUGGUGUGGAAAUCAGAACAGGAUGUGUUCCAGUCCAAACAUAUCUUUAGAGUUGACUGUGCCCACAAAUGUGUUUCUGUGAGUGAUGGUCUGACAAGUGAUAGUCUGACAAGACAUGACCGUUUUCCAAAUUUUUACUUACAAAUUAAAACACGAAAGUAAAUCUAUAAUGUAUGUUUAUGAAAAAUAUUUUGAUAUCAUCUCAGCCAUUUAAUAAGUCCCUAAAGAGGCUCUCAUUUAUUCCUGAAGAAGAGUCCUUAAUAUAUUGUGAAUGCUCGUUGAUUCUGAUAGCAAGUUGACUCCCCAUUACUGCAACUGUUUUUAUAAUGUAGAAAGAGCGCUAAGUGUCAAGCACUUUACCUUUCCAUAGCUAAGGAAAUCCUUAAAAAUAUAAUGGGGUUCCAAAUCAUAGAGUCAUUUUAGUACUUUAAUAAGACCACGAUUUGUUUAAUGUGAGCAGAGAAACAUUGUAAUCAGAAUUAUCCUUACCUGUAGGAGGUACAGACUCUAGUGAAUUAUGAGGGAUGCUGGAAUGCGUUUCUGACCCAAUUGAUCUUGCAAUUAGUACUGACCAUGAAGUUUAUUUGGUGAUUACUUCAUUUACUUAAGGCAGUAAUUAUGGGAAGAAAGGAUUGGGUAAAUGUUGGUCAAAAUAUACAAAAUUUCAGUUGGGGGAAGAAGUUCUAGAGAUCUACUGUACAGUAUGAUGACUAUAGUUAAUAACAGUGUAUUAACUAGUUAAUGUAUAAUUAAUAUAUAAUAUAUUUUAGGUAUUCUCACCACAAAAACUGAUAAGUAUGUGUGGUAAUGCAUAUGUUAAUUAUAUUUACCUAAACCAACAAUAUAUACAUAUUUUAAAGCAUCGUGUCAUAUACCAUAAAUAUAUACAAUUCUUUUUUGUCAAUUAAAAAUAAUAAUAAAAAACAAAUGUUAUCCAGAAGAGUUUUAAUACUCAGAACUGUUUGAUAAUAACUUAUUGUGUGUUAAUUUAUACAUUGCCUUUAUUUAUCCCCAUUCAG
rnacentral:lncRNA from 1 species